rnacentral:tRNA from 1 species
GUGGCUGUAGCUCAAUGGUAGAGUUCUCGUUUCGUACGCGGGAAGACUAUGGUUGGAUUCCCGGCUGCU